rnacentral:lncRNA from 1 species
CUGUAUGUACAAACCACUCUUAAGACCCGGUCCCAUGCCCAAAAGUAGAUGGCCAACACAAACUGAACUCGGUGGUAUUUUUGGAGGGCUUUUUGUUAGCUCUCACAAUGCUUUGUCUGGGAUCUCUUUUUUUUCUUUUUCUUACACUACAGGUCUUUGCUUAUACAUUAUGCUUUCUAAUGUAGUAUUUAGAGGACUUCCACGUUUUCUAAUGUGUUUUCUCUGUGUCUGUGUUUCUUGUGUGUGUGUUUUCUUUGACCCUGUUUCUCUGUUCAUUUGCUCGGUUUGUCCUAUUCAGGUUUGUCUGAUAUUUUUUUUCUCUCUCUUUAGAUACCCCUUUGUUUUCUAAUGUAGGAAAGCAAGAAAGGAUAUGGACUUGGGUGUGUGGAGAGGUGGGGAAGCUCUGGGAGGAGUUGAGGGAAAUGGAACUAAAAUCAGAAUUUAUUGUAUGGAAGAAAAUCUUCUUCAGUUAAAAAAGUUUUAAGUACGAUACAGUAAAAAUGAAAAAGAAAAA